AUUGAACGCUGGCGGCAUGCCUUACACAUGCAAGUCGAACGGCAGCACGGGGGCAACCCUGGUGGCGAGUGGCGAACGGGUGAGUACUACAUCGGAACGUACCCAGUAGUGGGGGAUAACUAGUCGAAAGAUUAGCUAAUACCGCAUACGCACUAUGGUGGAAAGCGGGGGAUCGCAAGACCUCGCGCUAUUGGAGCGGCCGAUGUCCGAUUAGGUAGUUGGUGGGGUAAAAGCCUACCAAGCCUGCGAUCGGUAACUGGUCUGAGAGGACGACCAGUCACAGUGGGACUGAGACACGGCCCAGGCUCCUACGGGAGGCAGCAGUGGGGAAUUUUGGACAAUGGGGGCAACCCUGAUCCAGCAAUGCCGCGUGUGUGAAGAAGGCCUUCGGGUUGUAAAGCACUUUUGGCGGGAAAGAAACGGCGCUUGCUAAUACCAGGCGCUAAUGACGGUACCCGCAGAAUAAGCACCGGCUAACUACGUGCCAGCCGCCGCCGUAAUAC
rnacentral:rRNA from 1 species